rnacentral:lncRNA from 1 species
AUCAUCCUUUUCCGCCCUCAUGGAUUGGUGGUUGGUAUCAGCUGCUCCACCUUUUCUACCAUUUACUGAACGAGUUGAGGAAAAAGGGAAGGAGUCUCGUCUUUACAUCCUUAUUUUCUUUUUUUAUUGGUUGGCACCUAUGCCACUCACGUGGUGGAGAGGCGGGGCAAUAGUUGGAGAUGAUUGGUUCUGAGAAUUGGCUGUGAAAGCGGCAUUGCUGACCAGUGAGAGAGACCUAAUGAGGAGCAGGCCGGGGCAACCAAUGAAAUCGGAGAAGAGCGCUUGGGGGCGUGUCCGCCUGCUUUCAGCCUUUGGCAAGUUGGUGGGAGGUGAAAGUGACUUGGCCUCUUAAAAGCGUUUUUUUCACGUGGGUGUGAUGUCGUGUUCCGUUUUUCUGAAUAAGAACUUCGUAGCUUCUUGUUAGGAAGAACCUGGAGGACAGAGUAACUCUCGGCAGUCAGCCCCCGCCUGAGGCUCUCUUGAAGGACCCCCUUCUAACUCGAAGCUGGAUACCCAGAUUCCAGGGGUGCCCAGAAGUAGCUUUUCCAGCCCCUUCCUGGAUCCAUGGUCCCCCUAGUUCCCUUCCCUGUUUGCUCUUUAUCGCUCCACACCCCUUGUGUCUUGAUUCUAGACUGUCAUAUGCCUAUACCGAUUCUGUCCCCUUCAGAAGUAGAUUCGCGAGGACCUGACUUUAUGUGUCUCUUCCAGACCUAAAGGCCCUUGGUUUUAGCAUCAUAGGUGCCAUGUAUAUGCUUAACUUUGAACAGAAAAUUAUUAUUUUUUGUAUCUUUAAACUGAUAUAUCGUAGUUGUACAUAUUUAACUUUGGACAGAAAAUUUUUUUUAUAUCUUUAAACUGAUAUAGUUGUACAUAUUUUCAGGGAUACAUCUGAUAUUGUGAUACAUGUAUUCAAUGUAUAAUUAUCAAAUCAGUGUAAUUGGGAUAUCCAUCAUCUCAAACAUUAUCUUUGUGUUGGGAACAUUUUCUGCUAUGCGUUCUCUUGUAGCAGGAAAUCGUUAUUUUUGAUCAACUGACUAUUCACACAUUUGUGAAGAUUACAAAUUCAGUAACUAAUGUAACAUUUAGAUGUAAGCUAUUGUUGCAAAUGUAACCUAAAGCGCCGUACUUUAGGGAAUCUAGCAUCUGUUACAUUUUGCUAGUUUGAACAGGCAAUAGAAAUAGCUAUUAGAUACUGUAAAAGAAAUUGACUUUCUUUGCCAAUGUGCUUCCCAGUGUCAAUAAAUUAAAGUAUCCUUUUUAAGAAAAUCGUUUCAAAAGAAGCGAAGUAUUUAUUGAAUUCUGGAGAGAGAAUACUCUUUAAAAAUCUGCAAUUUUUACUAUCAGGGAUCAUUUGUAUAGCUCAUUACUAGUGAAUUUCUCUGAAUGUGUAGAGCAAAAUAAAAUCUGCUAUUAGAUGUAGGCUAUUUGGGAUUAAUUUUUUUUUUAACUGAGCUAGAGUUAAUCCAUUUAGGCUUGAGUCCUGCUUUUGCUACUUACUGGGUCUAUUACUUUGAGAAAAUUAUUUAAGCACUCCAAGUCUCAGUUUUCACUUAUGUUAAACAGGAAUAAAACCUCACAGGGAUGCUGUUGUGAUUAAGUGCGUUUGAAUGUGUUUGAUAAACUGUAGAUAGCUACAAACAUGUGAGUUGUGUUGCCAAACACAUCUCACAGGUUACUUGCCAUCACAAAGGAGAAACAUACUUUUACAAUGGGGAGAUCUGGCAGUCCCCACCUUAACCCAGUUAUCCAAUGUGUAUCAGUAACCCUUGGACAACCAACAUUUUUAUGAAGUUCCCAGUGUGCUGCAGCAUAAAGUAUACAGCAUCACUUAAUGGUGUUUUCUUGCCAAAAUACUGAAAGUUAAUCUAAUCAAGGCUUUGGAUCUAAACUCCAG